GGGAACCCACAUCGGCACCAAGCCCACCACUGCGCCCACUGGCCCGGACACUGCCCCGCUUACCUGUGGAAGAGAGAAAAGUUGUAGAUGAACACAAUACCUUUCAGACAUGAGAUGGAACCAAGGAAGGGUACCUGAAGAAGGUGCAUUUAUGUGGUGCCACGGAUCGAACCCAGUGCCUCAUGCAUGCUAGGCAAGCACUCUACUACUGAGCUACAACCCUGGUCCUGAGAAAGCAGGUAUUUCUGAUGGAAGAGUGAGGGUGGGUGCAUCAGGCCUGUCUCUGGGAUACUGUCUCCGGUGACCAUGAAGGCACUCACUGCCCAUCCUUGUCCCCAGUGCCCAGCAAAUAGUAAUGAGACACAGAUGGUCAAAGGAGCACCACCGAGCAUGGGAGCUGAGGUCCAGCAGAGGAAACACAACCCCAUCAACUCAAGAGCAGGACUGAGGGCAUGGGAGCAGACACCUGUUGUGGCAUCUACCACCUCCUGAGUACACAGCCCAGGACAGGUGGCUCCAGGUUUGUGUGUGAAUUGGCUCACACCCCAGUCCCAUCA